UACGUAGGGGGCGAGCGUUGUCCGGAUUUAUUGGGCGUAAAGAGCUCGUAGGCGGCUUAGUAAGUCGGGUGUGAAAACCCCAGGCUCAACCUGGGGACGCCACCCGAUACUGCUAUAGCUAGAGUCCAGUAGGGGAGUGUGGAAUUCCCAGUGUAGCGGUGAAAUGCGCAGAUAUUGGGAGGAACACCAGCGGCGAAGGCGGCACUCUGGGCUGGUACUGACGCUGAGGAGCGAAAGCGUGGGUAGCGAACAGG
rnacentral:rRNA from 1 species